GAUGAACGCUGGCGGCGUGCCUAAUACAUGCAAGUCGAGCGACCGGACGAGAAGCUUGCUUCUCUGAUGUUAGCGGCGGACGGGUGAGUAACACGUGGAUAACCUACCUAUAAGACUGGGAUAACUUCGGGAAACCGGAGCUAAUACCGGAUAAUAUUUUGAACCGCAUGGUUCAAAAGUGAAAGACGGUCUUGCUGUCACUUAUAGAUGGAUCCGCGCUGCAUUAGCUAGUUGGUAAGGUAACGGCUUACCAAGGCAACGAUGCAUAGCCGACCUGAGAGGGUGAUCGGCCACACUGGAACUGAGACACGGUCCAGACUCCUACGGGAGGCAGCAGUAGGGAAUCUUCCGCAAAGGGCGAAAGCCUGACGGAGCAACGCCGCGUGAGUGAUGAAGGUCUUCGGAUCGUAAAACUCUGUUAUUAGGGAAGAACAUAUGUGUAAGUAACUGUGCACAUCUUGACGGUACCUAAUCAGAAAGCCACGGCUAACUACGUG
rnacentral:rRNA from 1 species